CUAGCCAAGCCGGCGCCUCGUUUACUCGCACUGCUAAGAAGAAGAUGAAUCCUGAAGGAAGAAACAAGGAGGGUGCGAUCGGCGGCGAAGAAGCGCCCUGCUCUUCUCUCGCCGUCGAUUCCAUUCUCCGCAUCGGAACGGUAAUGCCAACGAGCUUCCCGUUACUCGUUCUCUCUAAUCAAGUAAUCCACCUAAUUCAACAAAACUGACUUCGCUAUCUCAGGCCGGUUUAAUUUGGGGGCUCUGCUUCGGGCCAUACGGUGCUGGUAAGCUAGGCCUCACUGGUGUUGCUCGUGCUUCUUUCGUGGCAAGUUUUUAUUUUCUGCAGCAAUAAAUCGGUGGUCCUCGUUGUGCUAUGAGUAAUUUUCUUUCUUUCUCUAUUGCUUGUUGGAUGAUUUUCGUGUUUUGCAGGCAAAGUCGGCUGGUAGACACGGUUUCCAAUUCGGUUUCACAAGCAUGAGAGCGUAAAUAAUCUUCAUCCAUCCAUCCGUUUCCACGUCUUCCAUGCUUGUCUUGCUUUCAAUGUAAUUACGUGGCCAAUGCCUAAGCUGUUUGUGAAUUAAACUUGAUUUUUACUUUUGGGAGCAAAUUAAGGCAUUUCUGGCUGUGUAUGUUUGUUUAGCUUCUAAUUUGUUAUGUAGUGAUGCUAAGACAUCAUGUUGUCCAAAAUUCAUAGAGUACUCUUACGACAAUGAUUUUAAAGUUUCUGUUCCUAUCUAGACAAAGAUAGCAGGUCAACAAUAGCUAUUGAAACUGUUGCAGUUGCUGUUAUUAAUGGAAACAAAGAGAAACAACAAAAACAACAAAAAAAGAUGCUUCAUUAGCCAAACAUUAGGAGUGAAAACUUCUAAGAGGGCUUCGCAAUGGCGCAUUGGCAGAAUGUCAACAUUCCAACGAUGGAGAAAACAAUUAUGCAUUGCUUUAGUUAGUUCACACUGUUUUGUGUUCUUGUGAUAUUUGGAAAUAUAUCAUUUAUUGCACACACACACACACUUGGAAAUUCUAAUUUGUACUUUAUUGAAAUUUGCUAGUAUUAUGGUAUAGUAUUAGAGGAAGGUGAUCUGCAUCUUUUUUCCUCUUCUUUUUCUUUUAUAAUAGUUAAUGUUUGCAUCUGAUGUUCCAAGUUGAUUAGUAAUACAAACAUGUGCCAUUGUCUUAUUAAUUUGUAACUAUGUUAUCAUAUUCAUUCAUUCUGAACACAAUUGCAUUAUAUACUAUCAAAUCGUCCUCAAUUUUUAAGCAUCUAGCAAGCAUUCUGAAAUCUUGCACUUUUUGUCAAUCACUACCUAGUAUUUCUUGUUGUUUGCUCUUGACUCAACUUCAUGCUUCUUAUUUUCCGUGUGUAUUGUAGUCCAUAAUUCUUUUAACGUUUCUUUUCACCUAUUUAAUAAUUGUCACAGUAUUUUCUUUAUAUAAUGACCCUUGAUUCAAUCCUAGAGUACAAAUAUCAAGUAUUCUUAUUCCUUUAGGACUUUUUGCUGGGGUGUUUUCUUAUACGCGUUGUGGAAUUCAGAGAUAUCGGGAUCGAAAUGAUUGGUUGAAUGCUCUGACGGCGGGUGCUGUAGCAGGUGCUGCUGCAGUUGCUGGCUCCCCAAACUGGAAACAGGUUGCUGCUCUG